rnacentral:rRNA from 1 species
UGGGGAAUAUUGCACAAUGGGCGAAAGCCUGAUGCAGCAACGCCGCGUGAGGGACGACGGCCUUCGGGUUGUAAACCUCUUUUAGCAAGGAAGAAGCGAAAGUGACGGUACUUGCAGAAAAAGCGCCGGCUAACUACGUGCCAGCAGCCGCGGUAAUACGUAGGGCGCAAGCGUUAUCCGGAAUUAUUGGGCGUAAAGAGCUCGUAGACGGUUUGUCGCGUCUGCUGUGAAAACCCCGAGGCUCAACCUCGGGCCUGCAGUGGGUACGGGCAGACUAGAGUGCGGUAGGGGAGAUUGGAACUCCUGGUGUAGCGGUGGAAUGCGCAGAUAUCAGGAAGAACACCGAUGGCGAAGGCAGAUCUCUGGGCCGUAACUGACGCUGAGGAGCGAAAGGGUGGGGAGCAAACAGGCUUAGAUACCCUGGUAGUCCACCCCGUAAACGUUGGGAACUAGUUGUGGGGUCCAUUUCCACGGAUUCCGUGACGCAGCUAACGCAUUAAGUUCCCCGCCUGGGGAGUACGGCCGCAAGGCUAAAACUUAAAUGAAUUGACGGGGUCAUAGCUGUUUCCU